AGUACAGCAGAAAGGGAUCUGGGGGGUCACAGUAGAUCACAAGCUAAACUGCAGUCAGUGUAACGUUGUACAAACAUUCUGGGAUGUAUUAGCAGGAGUGUUUUAAGCAAGGUGGAAUUCUUCUGCUCUACUUUGCUGAUACAGCCUCAACUGUAGUAUUGCGUCCUGUUCUGGGUGCCACAUGUCAGGAGAGAGUAGAAAAAAUUUUAAAACGUCUGGAGGAGAGCAACAAAAAUGAUUAAAGGUCUAGAAAACAUGACCUAUAAUAAGCAAAGGUUGAAAAGUUUGGGUUUGUUGGAGAAGAGAGAGACUGAAUGGGGACAUAACGGUUCUCAAGUACAGAAAAGGUUGUUACAAGGAGGCAGGAGAAAAAUUGUUCUCAUUACCCACUGAAGCUAGGACAAGAAGCAAUGGGCUUAAAUUGCAGCAUACUUCCUAUCAGGGUUGUUAAGCACUUAAAUAAAUUGCCUAAGGAGGUUGUGGAAUCUUGGUCACUGGAGGAUUUUAAGAUCAGUUUAGACAGAUACCUGUUAAGGAUGAUCUAGAAUCGAUAAUACUUGCUCGUGCCUUACUUGCAGGGGAUUGGACUAGAUGACCUCUUGAGGUCCCUUACAGUCCAAUGUUGUGUGAAAACUUGUGACCUUGUUCACAGCCCUGAUGGUGGUCUCUUCGAGCUGCUAAGAUGCACAUCUUGAAAGACUCAAAGCUAACCCAUAUUUAACCAAUAAUGUCCACAGAUGACUAAGAAGUAUUGGGCAAAAUUCUGUUCUCAUUCAGCACAGCAUAAAUCUGGAGUAACUCCAUUGAAGUCAUUAGUGUUCUUUGUGUUUAUUUGAAAGCCAAAGGCCCUAAGUGUUUUUCACAGGAAUUUCAAAUUUGAACAGUGAAAUAAAAAAUAGCAUUAAAAGACAUUGCUUUAUGGCUGUAAGUGCACAAAUACUACACGCUCCGCACCCUGCCUCCCACCCACUCUCCUGCAAAACCCUACCAGUGUAUUUUCCUUGUUGCUCUAUUUAGUUAGACAAAACAAGGCCCAUGACUAUUGUCCAAAAAAAAAAAAAAAAUGCCCUCCUCUGUUUCAAAGAGUCACAUUGCAAGGCAAUAAGCUGCCCUUUCAAACAGGCUGACAACAAAAACAUGCUGAUUAAAUGUAACAACCCUGAAUCAACAGCUAUAGGAGACCACUACCAUGUUUUCUGUCCUUUGUUUUAAAGGGUGCUGGCUGUUACUCUUACAAUUGUGAUUUAGCCUAAGUGAGCCAUACGCUCAUUAUUCA